CACACAGGUGAUCUUACAGAUAUUUAUCUGCGUUUGAAGAAGCGAGUGAAUUGAGUUUGUAAUGUAGGAAAUAGUUUUUAGUUUUUUCGCCUCAUUAAACGCGGAUCCUUUUAUCAUAAAUGCUAAAAUCAAUUUUUUUCGACUGAUUUUAUUGAUUAUAGAGUAUUUCCUAAACUGCAGAUAAAAGCAGGGAUUAAUGUGAAUGAAAAUGAAUCAGUCUCGGAGAAACUGCAGUGCCACCACCUGGGAAAGAAGAACCACAAACAUCACAUCACUAAACUCACGGAUGUGGUUGGCAACGUGACAGUGCAGAAGCCAUGUUCCAUUGACUUCUGCCACCAUCUCCAGUGUCUGAAAUGCUCCUGGGAUCAGGUCAUACACAUCAGUACGAACGAUGAACGAAGGUCUUGCGGGUGUGGAAGGACAUGAGGGUUUCCGCAUGAAAAUGGACAGUGUGUAUGUCCGCUUCAUUGCCCAUCCCAAACAGGUACCAGACCACCUUGUCGCCUUCCACCAUUUCCAGCCCAUGAAGGUUUGCAUAGAGCUUCCCAUUGAUCCCUG